CUAAAUAUGAGGGUGGACCCAUAUAUAUAGGGUCACAAAAUAAUAAAUAGACCCCUACAAAUAAAACAAUCCCGAAAAGAUCCUAAACGACAAUAUGCAACUAAACCCAAAUGACAAUAUGCAAAUAAACUCAAUCAACAUAAAAUAAACACAACUAAAAUAAAUCAAUCCAAAAUAAAAUCAGGCUGGCUGAAUCGGCUGGGACCCGCUGAGUUGGCUGGAUCCUGUGGCGAC
rnacentral:lncRNA from 1 species